UUUAAUAGUGUUAUAAUACUGUAAACUGUUCAUUGAUUAAAAAAGGAAGCAACUCUGUUACUCGCUUGUACAAGACAGACAUAAUAAUCUUAAUACCAUUAAAAAUAUAAAAAACAUACAUUAAAAAGUCUAUUAUAUUAUGGCUUGAUAGUAUUUCAAAGAUUUUCAAGCUCCGCUCCUUUGCAUCUACAGGUUUGUCAGUAGGGCAUGUGACCAGGUUUGAGAACUGUUAGUUGCUCUAAUAGUAAUUUGAAGGCCGCUUGAAAAAACGGUGUGCACGGAUUCAGACUGAAAAUCGUAGUGAACAUUCUUUUUGAGAGGUUGUAUAUGACGCUUGUCACCAGCUCUUGAUGAUUGACAAUUGGAGUUGUCACUCUGACUAUUGGAGUUGUAUUAUUUUAUUAACGUGGUAUAACUCUCAGUUUACCAUCACUGAAAGCUCCUUUUUGCAUCUACAGUAUCAGUGUUGACCUUCCUCUAAAAACCUGGAGAUGCAAGUCUACUGGAAAGCCUGGGGAACUGGAGACGCAGUGGCCAUGGCUCAGCAUCGCCAACUCAGAAACAGAGCCUUCCUAAUUCUAGGUUUAACAUCAAAACGUUAUUUGCUAACAAGAAACAGGAUUCAUUGGUCAUGUGGCGCAAUGUUAAAACGUUGGGCUUUGGCAAGCAGCCCUCUGCAGAAAAAUUGUUCGUUGGCCUGCAUGUUCCCAAGAUUUGACACCAUUGCGUAAGAAAAUCGCUAACAAUGUAUAUGUGCAGUGCAACAAGUAGUGUUAAAAUCAGGUGUUUGUGAUGCAGAGAAGGAGUCAUGUUAAAAACCAUUUUAAAAUUAAAAUUUACUUAAACUGA